AUGAAAUCGAAGUAACUGCUUGUUAUCAAUUACCGCUUAUGGAGACGGAUAAAAACGAUCAUCUGGAGACGCAUCGCAUGACCUGGCACUGCGUGGAGUCCUUUGUUGUGAUCCAGCCACAGACGAAGACAGGAGAGGACAGAGAGAACUGCUGUUUGAGAAAAAUCAACUUUUAACAGAGACUCUGUCUCUGCAGGAAUAUAACUCAUAUGGAGAACACUGCUGUAAAAAAGGAAAUCCACAACCGGAAUUGAAGAAUCUGCUGCAGUGACGGCAGGUGAUGGAACUAACCAUGUGAUGCUGAUAACAUGGAGUGCAGCAAAAUUAAACAGAUGUAGUCUGUGCUUUGGAAGAGAUUGUCUCAUUCCUGUGCCAAAGAUGCAGCGGCUCAGUGACGCUGAGGACUGUAAACUGGCGUUGACYUCUGACAUUGUGAAGACCGUUGGAGAUUUCUCCUGGAGCAGCUUCGGCCCAUCAGGUUCCAUUUGGAUCCCCUCUAGUUUGCCCUCUUGGUUUGGAAUUGAGGACACCAUCAUCUACCUGCUGAAUCAUGUUUACACCUGGAUAAGCUAGCUCAAGGGUCGGCUGAGAAACUCACAGUGAUGCAGAUGGAUGCCCUCUUGUUUGUGAACGAGCUGACUGACAGACCUCAGUACUUUGUGUGCGCUUSCAGAACUGUGUGUCGGACAGAGUGGUCAUCAACACUGGGGCCCCACAGGGGACAGUCCUUUUCACCCUCAACACCACAGACUUCAGCUGUCAGAGUCCUGCUAUAUGAUUUUCUGAUGAUUCUGCAAUAGUUGUGUCAGAAAUGGCGCUGAUGCUGAUCACAGGUCACAUGGUGCGAGCAAAACUACCUGCAGCUCACCAAGACAAAGACAAAGGGACUGGUUGUGGAUUUAAGAUGGGUSAGGACACCGGUGACCCCUGUUUCCAUCCAGUUGUUCACUGUGGGCAUUGUGGAGGAUCAUAAACGCCUAGGAGUGUUCACUGACCAUAAACUGGACGGGGCUAAGAACACUGAUGCCCCGUACAGGAAGGGCCUCUUAUUUAAAGAGGCUGAGGUCAUUUACUGAAAAUUUUGAAAAUAUUAUAUAAGACUGGUGUCUUCAUGUAUACUGUUGUUGUGCUGUAGAUGGAGAGUAGUGGAUGCCAACAGACUUCACAAACUUAUCUGCAAAGUCAGAGAAGUUAUUGAGGUGGAGCUGGACUCAGUGACUGUGGUGUCACAGAAGAAUAUUAACUAGGCUUCAAGCCAUCCACUCCGUGUCCCACUGGUUAGACACAGGUGCACAUUCAGUACAAGACUGAGACCUUAACAAAGCAGGACGUAAUUUCUACCUGUGGUCAUCCAGCUAUUGAUACAUCAUUUAAAAUGUUCAAAGUGGAUACUGCAAGCAAAAUAAAAUACUUUUUAUUUAUUGGUAACCCAGGCAGGAGCAGAUGGAAUGAAUGAUGAAGGGGAUGAGGGUGAUCCUCUGUGAGCAGAGAGCAGUGAACACAGCGGUUGUGAAGUUUGGGAAAGGAGGUUUGAGGUUAACCAGUUAUUUUGCCGUCCUGGUUUAUGAUCUGUGACAGUUUGCUUUUGUUUUACAUUAAAUAAGUCAUACGAGAAUACAUGUGUAAAGUGAUGAACAUACUGUAUGUUCAUUAUUUAGCUCACUUUCUGAGUGUUA